GGUGAAUGCAUGUCAGGUCCUUGAUCCAAAGGCGUUUGACCCUGGGAGGACUUGUUACAAUUAAUAGCCUUGUUUCAAUGGGAGUACUUCAACGAAGCCCUGGCAAUACAUUUUGUGUGCAAUUGUGUUUAUAGGAAUAGGCUUCAAAGCACAAGCAAAAGCAAACUGAGCAACGCACCACAUCACCUACGCAGAGAUGUCUGGCCAUUGUCUUUUUACCGACUCAGCAGGGCUGAAGUGGGAGUGUGGUAUACAUGAAUGGGGAAGCUAAUCUCCAUGUGUGGGGCUACAUACAGAAGUGGACAAGGAGGCAAGGAAAAGAGCUGGUGUGGAAGGGUGAAGACUGGGGAGUAGGGAUAGGAGAAGCCAGUAUGUUAUUUGGAAUUAAAAAAGGAAGUGAUAUGUGUAUUUAGACAGACAAGGUUCUUUGGGUGACUCUGACAUCUUUUAUUAGACCAAAUUAAAUAGCUGGGGAAAAUUUUUUUUAGCAAGCUUUCAGGUUUAAAAACCCUUUGCCAGGCUGAGGAAGCCUCUGCAAUUGGUGUGUGCUCUUCCUGGAUGGACCGAAUAGUAAAUAUGUGUAUUUAAGAAGUCAGGAACCCUGAUAAGAGGAGCAUGAAUGGAAAAUAUCCUCAGAAGAUGCAUUUGGGAGUGAGUGAACUAGAGGUAGGGUCAGGAAGAAUUAAGAGGAGUGCAAACCAGUCAGAUGUAUCCCAGCACCUUACAAAACCAAACACCAUGUGAAGCCUGAACUAGCAAGAGAUACAAAGGUUUCAGCGAACAUUCAACGCUGUCGGUGAGUUUUGGCAGUCAGGUUAAACCAUCGACCGUUGAGUGUACCCUGCAACCUUGGUAACACCUGAACUGAAGGAUUUAGGCUUAAAAACAGUCUCCCUAACAUAGCCUUCACUUAAACAUGGCACAUUAUAAAAUACAACUGCUUUGUCUUCAAAAGUGCUAAUUCAGUUGACUUAGCUAACUGGAUUUAAUAUAUGUCAAUAUUAGCACUUCUCCACACAGUAAAACUUUUCAGAAAAACUGUUCUGCAGUAAUUUAUUCCAAAAUUUUUCCUUGUGUGGCCAUGCUAUUCUAGAUUAAAAGUUACUUUGUUUUGGAAGAGGUUGCAUGUUUCCAAAGUAGAGUAAUUAUUUAGGAUUUUAUCACUCAAACGCCAUCCUUAUCGAGAACAUUAGUGACACGACAGAAUAUGGUCACUUUUAUUUUGGAAUAGGACACAUGGAGCUCUGUUCUGGAACAGCUAUGUCUAUUCCAGUCAGCUUCACGAUAUAGAUAGCACCCAGUUUGCUGCUUGUAGAUAGCACCUAGUUUAGAGAAGCUUUUGAUGGUUAACCUGUGAGCAAGUGGAAUUGUUACUUCCAUUUGGGCUUAACUCAAGACUACUUGCUCUCAGCGCUUCAUGAUAGCUGUACUAUAAGAUUCCUCAGAAGCUGUUGCAACUCUGCAAUUUAGGACUGGAACUGUCUGAAGAGACAGGCAUAUUUUCCCUGUGAGCAAAGGUGUGGUUCUGGAACUAGAGAAGAGUACUUUUUACUCCCAGCGUUCUGUCCCUAGGUCGAUUGUUUUCCCUUCCUUGUGCCUCCAUUUCAUUCAUCCUUGCAACAAGGAUAAUAUUGACCUUCCUACCCAGAAGACUGAGGUUUAAUCUUUUAACAUUUCUAAUACUCUGUGAGAUGCUCCUGCUGUAGAAACAUGAGCUGCUAUUUCUGAUUAUUCUCCAUGUCCCUGCUCUGUUCCUGUGCUGCUUGAGCAAAGAUUCCCAGAAGCCCAAAAAGUCACAAUCAACAUUCAUUGCUGUCGGUGGGUUGUGAUGCUGAAGGGAAAACUCACGGAUCAAUGAAUGCAACUGUGAUUGGAACAGACACUUUACUGUACCAGCCCUGGUGCUUGAAGGCUGGUGGAUGGACUUGGUCUCCUGAUCUUUUGCUCACAAACCCUUGGAACAACCCUUCAUUCUGAGCACUUAGGACCUUUCAAGAUGAGCUCAUCCAGGCAUGCAUGACAAAGGCAGGAGAAUUUCAGAGUAGCUGUGAAGUCUUUUCUUUAAGACCUUAAUGGGCAGAUUUUCACAGGUGCUGAAUGCUUGCACUCCCCAUUCACUUCAGUCAGCAUGGAAGUUAAAUACAAAAGACCUAAUAGGGGUUUAUUCCCAGCUAGUCUAUACUCCAAUUAGUGUAUGUGUGUUCUCAACAAACAAGUGCUUUGUUUAGCUUUAAAAGCCUUGAGCUAGGAGGCUCAGAUAGGCACUCAGAAACCACAUCGAUGGUCAUGGAAUAAAAGGACAGAUAGGCAACUAUCUGCCUUGAAGAGAUUAUUCCACUGAUUUUACCAUUAGGACUUUACAGAUAUUCACCUUUCAUUUCUUUUUAUUAUUUAUGUAUUAUACCGCCUUAGAUUGUCCUGAAUAAUCCUGUUAUCCUCCUGGAAGCAUCAGAUUCUUGUAGACAGCUACCACAUGCCUUACAAAGAUUCUCAUUUACUAGUGUGACUUGAAGGUAAGGGGUCAGAGGCAGAUGCUUUAGAAAGCUUUAGAUAUAAAGUUAAUAACAUCCUUCAAACGUUAAAUGAACAUCUCAGCAGAAUUCAUUGCCAUUUUCACCCUUGGUCAGAUCAUACUUUUGAAACCCAAAACAGUGAAUCCCCAGUGUCAUGCAACAAAGAAUGUUUAGUGGUUAGUACAGGCCCCAAGAUUUUGUCCGUGGCCAGGGUUUGACUCCAUAGGCUUGUUAUUUAGUGAUUUUGAAAAAAGAGAUUUCUGAGCUUUUCAGUUGCUCCCUGAAAAGUGAUCUUUAUUGACUGGCUUCCUGUUUGCUGCUUGAAAAUCAAUUCCAAUGAGAUGGAAAUCUGCUGAGGUGCUCUCAUUCUUACAGUGGGUUGAUUUCAGCUGAUGAAUGACAGUACUUAGAGGUGUGGGCAUCUGAGAGAGCAGUUUCAAGGUGGGAGGGAAUAUGGAUGUCAUGGGUGUCAUGGGCUCAAUCAUGCAUGUCUUUUCUUCAGUGACCCUCCUAUUGGUUCAGCAAGGAUGGCAAGGUUAGGAUCUGUAAAAUGUAAAAGGGGACACAAGUUUAAUCCAGUCCAGUUAGGCCUAGAAUUCAAACAUUGCCAAAAGGGCAAAAAUCCAAAUAUUUAGUUUUAAAAAAAAGUUGAAUCACAAAAAGCUGCUAUUCACAGUUCUGCUGCAUUAAUUUGUCCAUAUGUGAAGGGAUCUGGACAGUGGGAUGUAGUACUGAAGAGUCUGGAGAGCUGCGAAUGGCAGUAGCCGCAUAAGAAAAAGCUGCAACAGUCAAGAUGAAAGUAAAAGAAGAAAUGGAUAAGGAAUUAAGCAGAAGUGAAGCUGAGGCAGCAACAUUUACAGACAAAUGUUUCUUGCAUGUUUUAGUUGCCAUUCCAAAGAAAAAGCUCUUCUGAAAUAUUACUUGUGAUUGCAGCAUUUUUGCAAAAUUGUUGCAAUUCCUGAUGCUUGUAGUAAAACACAGGCAUGAAUGUGCUUUUACACUCCAGGAUAUUGCAGCAUAUUUAACUUGAAGACUUUUAUUUGAGAGACCCCUUUUGAAAUCACAGAAAAGGGGGGGGGAGACAACCCAGACUCUUUGUCUCCAGGCAGAGGGAGGUGGAGUGGGGGAGGGAACUGACUGACAGAUUCAGGUAGACUUCCAAAAAUGUGAUUGGCUCUUCUGAAGUCUCACUGAUGGCCCCUUCAGAAAACAAAAUCACAUGGGGCUAUUUUACUCCCCAACACAUGCAAGUUUUCCUAGGAAAUACAACAUGGAACAGUUUAACAUCUGGAAAGAUUACUUGGGACUGGCAGAAGUGGUGGAAGAGAUUCAUAAACAGCAAAGCAAAGGAGACAGCUUGCAGAUGGCAGCCACUUCUGAUGAUGAGAUGGAGAGUCCCAGGUUCAGAAGACAAGACAUUUCCUCUGGGACCUGGACAGGAAACGCUCUCUGUGCCUUUUGCAAGCACAAUGGGGAAUCAAAACACAUCUACACAUCUCACAAUCUGAAGGACAAGGAAGGAAGGGUGGCAUGUCCAAUCCUAAAGAACUACAUCUGCCCACAAUGCGGGGCCACGCAGGAGAAUGCUCACACCAAGAGGUUCUGCCCCCUGACCAGGAAAGGAUACACAUCAGUGUACAACUGCUUCUCCAGAAAUUCAACAGGAAAGCGCCCUGUCAGUGGCCCCAUGCAGAAGAACAAGGAUGAUUCAUUACCUCUUUCAAAUAUAUCUUAACCUGAAAAGGCCUCACUUCCUCAACUCCAUACUCAGGUUCCCAAGGUUUUCAGGCAGCCUUCUUCAUUUUCACACUUACCUGGCCCCUCUCUAAGGCUGAAGCAUCAGGGAACAUAGAAACAUGGAUACUCCCUGCCACAUCAACUUGGCAUCCAGUCAUCUUCACUCCCCUACCCACACUCCCAUCUUACAGGAACACUUUAUUUUUAAUAAUGGACAGAUAAUUGCCUUGGCUUCCAGAUCCAGCUCAGGAGGAACAGACAGACAUUUGGCCUACACUUGAGUUUUGCUGUGGCUAUACUGGCAAAGCCUAUUAAAUGUAGAUAAGUCCUUAUAUCUGGGAAGCUAAUAGUAGAUGCCUCAGUUCUUGGGCCUUUCUGUCAUUGAGUUGAAAGGAGAGAGAAAGAAUGUCAACAAAACAGUCUUGUUCUGAUAACAGUAACUAGCACUCAAGCCAUUCCUAGAUGCUUACUGAGCAGUUCAAUAGCUCUUAAAGCCUAGGUGGUCUCACACUUGAAUUGAAGGGAAAAUUGCACAUAACUGGGUAAUCAUUCACCUGUUAAUGUCAAAGUGAUGACUGAUUAAGUAUUGUCUUUUCAUUGUAAAAAAUAGGCAUCUCAGCUCUCCCUGCUUUUAUUUUCAUUGACAGUUAUUUUAUGUUAUACAUAUAUCUUGUUAAGUUAUUUUGAAAGCUGUUAUGUUUGGUACUUUUUGGUUGCCGUUCUGUUAAAAUAUUAUUUUGUUAUUGCGCUAAUAAAUGUAAAUUAUAUAUGUGUA